rnacentral:rRNA from 1 species
UACGUAGGGGGCAAGCGUUGUCCGGAAUUAUUGGGCGUAAAGAGCGCGUAGGCGGUCCGGUAAGUCGGUUGUGAAAGUCGGGGGGCUCAACCCCUCGGAUGCCGAUCGAUACUGCCGGGCUAGAGUCCGGAAGAGGCGAGUGGAAUUCCCUGGUGUAGCGGUGAAAUGCGCAGAUAUCAGGAGGAACACCAAUGGCGAAGGCAGCUCGCUGGGACGGUACUGACGCUGAGGCGCGAAAGCGUGGGGAGCGAACAGG